UUGUUUUUUUUCUAGGAUGGUCAUUCCAAACCUGUGCUUGCAGAAGUGGCAAUCAUGCGUAGGUUGAUGAAAGCUCCGCAAUGUCCGAACAUCAUCAGAUUACAUGACUGGAUUGAGAAUGAGAGCGAAUGCAUUCUCAUUUUGGAGUACCCAGAGUCAUGCCAGACUUUGGGUCGUUACAUCAAAAAGACAUCGGACAUGGAUGAAAACAAAGCACGCCGGUUAAUGCGUCAGUUGGUCCAAGCUGUCAAGUUCUGCGUUGAACGUGGAGUUUUCCAUGGUGAUAUACACUCGCAGAACAUCCUGGUGACUACACCCCAGUUAGAGCUCAAAUUGAUCGACUUCGGUUGUGCUUGGCCAGUCACCCGUAGGCCUUUCUUCAGCUAUAAUUAUCAAGGUGAGUGGGCAUUUUGUGUCAAGUGUCUUUGAUCACAGUAUUGCCUGAUGAAAUGACUGAAUUCUGAAAAUGUCUCUCUUACAGGAGCUAGACGUUGCACGCCAGCUGAGGUUUUAAUGCAUCGCAAAUUCUCCCCUACCAUGGCAAAUGUCUGGGCGAUAGGCAUCGUGCUGUUUGAAAUAUUGCAUAGACGGUUGCCCUUUUACGACAGACCAACGAUAAUGGGUGGAGGCCUUCGCAUGGACCCCACCUUAUCUUCAGCAUGCAAGGACCUGAUCUCCCAGUGUUUGGUCCGCAAUCCAGUUAUGCGAAUACAGUUACAUCAGGUUGAAGUGCACCGGUGGUUCAAUACAACGAGCCCAGAUGCUGUGCAGCAGUGACACAAGAGGAGAACUAUACAGUUGCCAAGAAGAGGAAAGCACUAUUAAGAGCACCAGAAAUUAUUAUUAUUAAGUUAUUAAUUACUCCCUCAUGUCAUUCCAAACCCUUAAGACCUUACUUUUCUUCAGUGUCAGUUCAUGGCGUGUGUUUGAGAGAGCUCUGUCCUGCACUGUAUGCGUGACGCACUGCUAACAUAUACCUGGAUGUGCCCACGCUUUGUUUAAAUG